AACGCUAGCUACAGGCUUAACACAUGCAAGUCGAGGGGAAACGAUAUUGGAAGCUUGCUUCCGAUAGGCGUCGACCGGCGCACGGGUGAGUAACGCGUAUCCAACCUGCCCACCACUUGGGGAUAACCUUGCGAAAGUAAGACUAAUACCCAAUGAUAUCUCUAGAAGACAUCUGAAAGAGAUUAAAGAUUUAUCGGUGAUGGAUGGGGAUGCGUCUGAUUAGCUUGUUGGCGGGGUAACGGCCCACCAAGGCAACGAUUAGUAGGGGUUCUGAGAGGAAGGUCCCCCACAUUGGAACUGAGACACGGUCCAAACUCCUACGGGAGGCAGCAGUGAGGAAUAUUGGUCAAUGGGCGAGAGCCUGAACCAGCCAAGUAGCGUGCAGGAAGACGGCCCUAUGGGUUGUAAACUGCUUUUAUAAGGGAAUAAAGUUAGUCUCGUGAGACUUUUUGCAUGUACCUUAUGAAUAAGGACCGGCUAAUUCCGUGCCAGCAGCCGCGGUAAUACGGAAGGUCCGGGCGUUAUCCGGAUUUAUUGGGUUUAAAGGGAGCGUAGGCCGGAGAUUAAGCGUGUUGUGAAAUGUAGAUGCUCAACAUCUGAACUGCAGCGCGAACUGGUUUCCUUGAGUACGCACAAAGUGGGCGGAAUUCGUGGUGUAGCGGUGAAAUGCUUAGAUAUCACGAAGAACUCCGAUUG
rnacentral:rRNA from 1 species